GCAAGUCGAACGAACAAAAUUGGGGCUUGCUCCAAUUUUAGUGAGUGGCAAACGGGUGAGUAACACGUGGGAAUCUACCCAUCAGUACGGAAUAACAUUUGGAAACAAAUGCUAAUACCGUAUAUUCUCUAAGGAGGAAAGAUUUAUCGCUGAUGGAUGAGCCCGCGCAAGAUUAGGUAGUUGGUGGGGUAAUAGCUCACCAAGGCUACGAUCGGUAGCUGGUCUGAGAGGAUGAUC
rnacentral:rRNA from 1 species